AAGCACAGUUCAAGGAGAGCAGUUGCUCUGGACCCCCACGGCCUGUGGCAGAAGAGAACUGCGGAGUUUUCAGUCUUUCACAGGGAAUCCUUCAGCUCGCCCGGCCGCUCCCUGAAGAGAGGACCCAGAAUGACAACCCAGAGAGAAGACAAAAGGUUAAAAAGAGAGGAAAAAAAAGAAAGAAAGAAGGAAAAAAGAAAAGAUGCCUUGCGGGUUUCCAAGUGAAGGAGACAAAAUUUGUGUGGAGGUGGUCACUCUCUAUAUUUUCUAAGUAAGAAGAAAGGAGAAGAAAUUCUGAAAGAAUCAGCAUUUGAACUGAAAAAGACUAUUUCAACAGGUAACUGUAUAGCAAAGGGAACUCUACCCCAUAUUCUGUGAUAACCUAUAUGGCUAAAGAAUCUGGAAUAGAAUGG